rnacentral:misc_RNA from 1 species
AGCCUUUUUCUGCGCACUCAACCGCUUUCGGAGCAGCCGAAGCUUGGCACCGCUCUGUCAUCUCUAUGUCUCCACUGCAAACUAAAAAGGAAACCACUCGCACGCGCGUAUACAGGACGCAUACACACGCGAAGGCGUCCCUCGUGUCCGCUCUUUCUCCCUAUAGUCUCUUCCGCGGCGUUCCACCAAAAUCACAGCUCUAAACGAGGCAGCAGCACACAUACAUACGGCUCUGCAGCUACCACAGUCUAGCCGUCACUCUCUCUCUCCCAUUUUUCUUGUGUUGUCUAUUUUCACGAUGUCCCUCACAGACGAGAUCCAACUCGAGCAGCUGGCCCCGACCAUCAAGGGCGACGCCUCCUGGUCCACCGGCCCCAUCUACGUUGUGUGCGAUGUUGGCGGCACGAACGCGCGCGUCGGCUUUGCUCAAGCGGCGCAGCACGAUAGAAGCGGCCUGCACAUCAUCUAUGUCCGCUUCAGGGUGACGAAGCGCGACAUCCGCCAGCUACUCGAGUUCUUCGAUGAGGUGCUGCAGCACCUGAAGAAGAACCUGCCCUACCGCGCUGGCCCCUUCCUGCGUCGUGUCGCGUCCGGUGCCGUGAGUGUGCCGGGACCUGUCACCAACGGACAGCUCGCCGGCCCCUUCAACAACCUGAAGGGCACUGCGCGGCUGGCGGACUACCCAGUGGAGCUGUUUCCAAAGGGCCGCAGCGCGCUUCUGAACGAUCUGGAGGCUGGCUCCUAUGGCGUGCUGGCUCUGAGCAACGCCGGCAUGCUGUCCGACUACUUCAAGGUCAUGUGGAAGGGCACGCAGUGGGACGCGCUGUCGGAAGGCAAGCCCGUCGGCAGCACCAUCGGCCACGGCCGCUGCAUGGUCGUGGCCCCCGGCACCGGCGUCGGCUCCUCUCUCAUCCACUAUGUGGGUGUCUCGGACAGCUAUGUCGUGCUGGCGCUGGAGUGCGGCUGUUUGUCCAUGUCUUGGUGCGCCAACGAGGACUCGAAGUACGUGCAGGCACUUGCCGGUUACAUGGCGUCCAAGGCGCGUGCGAAGGGCCUGGACUCGACGGUGGCCCCCAUCUGGGAGGCUGCGACAAGCGGUAGUGGGUUGGAGUUCAACUACGCGUACGAGAAGGAGGGGCCGAAGGCAUCCGUUCCCCUCAAGUCCGCUCCCGAGGUAGCCAAGCUCGCCAAGGCUGGCAGCGACCCGGCCGCCGUGGCCGCCAUGGACCGUCUCUACAAGAACCUCAUGGGCCUCACAGCUGAGACGACAAUGCAGUUCCUGCCGCUGACAUGUGUGCUGAUGGGCGACAGCAUUGUUUCCAACAGCUUUUACUUCGAUAACCCAGAGAAUGUGAAGAGGCUGCAGGCUCGCAUAAACGAGCACACGAUGGAGCGUCAGUUAAAGUUCUUGAGUCGCACCACGUUCCUUCGCCAGGUGCGCAGUGUGAAUAUCAACCUGCUGGGCUGCCUUGGAUUUGGUAGCCAGCUCUCCGACCCGGCAGAUCAGUUAGCGCCAAACAAGUCCAACUUGUGAAACACUAGCUGGAGCGCAAGAGAAAGAGUGACGACUCGUAGGGGAGUACUCGUGCUGAUCAUCCCGCUCUUGCUUUUCGAAGCGUCCGGAAGAAAGAACGAUUCGACGCUGCGAGGCACCCCUUCUCCUGAAGCCGAGGCGCUGUUGAAAGGGGUGUCUGUGCGUCACGACGUUUCUGUGUCGUUGGGGCGCGUGCAAAAGCGUGAGAGGAAGCCGGCGCCAGCUUGUGAACCCGCAGGUGCGCCUGUGUUGUGACGACGGUGCCGAUAGCAGCGGUGGUGGGCUACCGCCAUCGCGUCGGUGCAGCAAUCAUCAGCAGAAAAAG